ensembl:lncRNA
CAGGAGGAAAUGCAGCCCCAGCGUCUGAGCAGCGCCUGGCCAUGGAGUGCUGCGGCCCAAGAACAGCGCUAUUCUGCCCUUGCCAAGAUGGCUUUCCAAGGAGGACUUGUCUGUGGGGGUUAUUUGGGUUAUGUGGGCUCGUUGGGGUCUGUCCUCACAAAAACCAGAGGGCUGGCUCAUCCAAAAGCUUGGUGAUUGCUUGGAAGCCCAAACCCUUCUGGCCUACAAUAACCCCAUUGGCCCCACUGACCCCAAUGACCCCUUGAGCCAGUGACUUCAGUGACAUCACAUGAACCUUAUAAACCCAAUGAUCCCACAAUUCCCCAUUGACCCCAACGACCCUGCAUGACCCCACUGACCCCACCGAUCCAAAAGUUUCUAAUGAUACCCAUGACCCCAUAAGACCCCAACAACCCAUUUACCUCAGUGACCCCAUAGACCCCAUUGACACCACUAACCCCUUUAACACCAAUGGCCUUCAUUGAUCCCAAUGACCCCCAUUGACCCCAAUGACCCAAUUGACCCCAAUGACUCCAUUGACUACAGUGACCCCAAUAACCCACAUUGAACCCAAUGACCCCCAUUGCCACAGGGACCCC